rnacentral:lncRNA from 1 species
GUCCGAAUCCACGAACGCCUCCACUUCGAAUCCACGAAGCUUCAAUCACGCCGAAUCCACGACGCCACUCGAAUCCACGAGCCAACGAUCCUUCACUUCGAAUCCACGAAGCUUCAAUCACGCCGAAUCCACGACGCCACUCGAAUCCACGAGCUCACGAUCCGAAUCCACGAACCGCCGUCAAAUACGUCGAAUCCACGACGCCACUAUGAAGAAUAUCAUGAAUAUGGUGAUCCUUCGCUUUGGAGUAUUGUAGAAAACCAGGGAAUAGAACUCCAAGCGAAGCGGAGAUCAAAUCGACAUAUUAAUAUCAAAUUUUAAUAUCUCGAUUUGAUCUAAAAGAGGCUUUUUGU